GUAUCAUCUUGCUUUUCUCCUAAAAGAGAAUUUCACCAACUCCUUUAAGGAGUAAAAAUGACACUAAAAAAUAUUAUGGCAUAUUUCAGAGUCUGUUUGUGUGAACAGAAAAGAAGCAGAGGGACAGGCAUAGUGAAACAGCGUCUCGUUUCUGAGGCCCUCCUUGGGCAGAACUGUGCGGGUGACAAGGCUGGGUAUCAAAGUUGCUGCCUCCUGACUGUCUGUCCUCGAACUCUGGUGUGCUGCUUCUGUUUCUGGUGUUCUUGGAAUCUCUCCCUUAUCUACCUUUUCCUAAACUCUGCACAAUGCACAUUUAUUGUUCCCACUAGGAGAUGGAUAUGGUUUCAUAUCUUCUAAAUUUUUUAUUAUAACAAAUAUAAAAUUAUUAAAUUAGAAGAAUUUUGGUGUUUCAGUUCUUAGUUUCACCUUGGUAAUAAUAGUGAUCAGAGGGUCUAUCAGUCUACCCCCGAGUGUAGCAGAUUACACGUUAGAAAUAGCUUAAGGGAACGCUCAGACUUGGGUGUUAUGAAUUUUAGAUUUGUGUCUGAUCUCUUUGAUUUGUGCUGAUUGACCUUUGGAAAGUCCAGAAACCUCUGAGAAUCUUAGAUCUGUGGAAGCUUUGGGUAAAUAAAAGCAAUUCUUUUUCA